UGGGUUAGAGCCAUAGAGAGGCGUUCGUUUGUUAAGCGGAUCAUUGAGGAGACUUCCUCUAACUCAG
rnacentral:tRNA from 1 species